GGCCGUUCUUAGUUGGUGGAG
rnacentral:ncRNA from 2 species